rnacentral:rRNA from 1 species
UACGAAGGGGGCUAGCGUUGCUCGGAAUCACUGAGCGUAAAGCGCACGUAGGCGGAUUGCUAAGUCAGGGGUGAAAUCCUGGAGCUCAACUCCAGAACUGCCCUUGAUACUGGCGAUCUUGAGUCCGGGAGAGGUGAGUGGAACUGCGAGUGUAGAGGUGAAAUUCGUAGAUAUUCGCAAGAACACCAGUGGCGAAGGCGGCUCACUGGCCCGGUACUGACGCUGAGGUGCGAAAGCGUGGGGAGCAAACAGG